UGCACAGCUCUCUGCAUAGAAUCCAUGUGGUGCUGCCCUCAGGGUCCUCUCUGGGGUCUGGGUCAGCUCUUUGGGGGUUGUGGCAGGGUUUGUCCCAUCUCCCUGCCCGCCUCACAGAAAUGACCUCUCUGUGCACUGAUGACCAGAAGUCCUCCAUCCCUCUGACCUCAUCUCAAUCAAAUCACCGGCGUAGGGGCCAGAGGCAACACGUGCUUUCCGUUUGGGACCAGACCUAGACUCUCCUCAGGCCCCCUGGUGCCAUUGCCCCAUUUCUUCCCUUUCUCUGCAAGUCUCCCAAACCCACUAAAAGCAUCUCCACCCACCCCCACACAGACACCCCCUGCUUCUGGGCCCCUUCUCUGUCCUAUGUGGCUGUUCCUGACAAACUCUCACCCCAUGCCGUGCUGAAUGCAGUGCCCUCUGUAACAGCACAGCAGAAAGCACAUGGCCUGGAUGGUUGGGGAGGCAGGUUUGGAGCAGAUUCAUUAAUCAAUGUUUUGUUUAAGAGUUACACUCUGAAUCCAGGCAAAUCAGUAAGCGAUCUGUUCCUGCUGAUUGUUGCUUGUUCCUCCUGAUUGUUGUUUGUCUCUCCUAUUAGAAAAUCAUUUGAAUGUGAAAUCAUUAGACCCCAUGGCUUGCUUUUCUCAGCAAGUGCACAGAAAGUUGUUCUUAUUUGCUUUCCUGGGUAAAGUAUAGUUCCCCCAAAGGCUCUUGACACCUCCCUUCAGUCAUGCAACUCUUCCACAGAAAGUGGAAGUGGCUGUUUUUGUCCACUGCUUCUUCUACGCGUCACUGGACGUGUCCCUGUAAUAAACCACAUCUUAAGAAAAUCCCCUCAAUCCUGAGAAGUGGCUUCUUAGAAAACCCAAAAUGUUUGGAAAAGUGGUUCAAGUAGGUGGCAUGCACAGGAUAAAUUGCAGCGCAGGGAGACCCCAGGCCACAGACGCUGUGCAGGACAGCACAAAGCAGCACAGAGGAAGAGCCCUCGCACAGCCACCAUGCUCAGCACAAGACCAGUCCUGCUGCUCCUGCUGCUCCUCACCUUCUCCCAGCACUGCGCCACAGCACUCCCCACACCUACCGAAUGCUGCUUCCAUUAUGCACAGAAAACCGUUCGGCUUUCAAAUAUGUGGAGUUUCUAUGAGACACCCAAAGACUGCGCCCUACCUGCAGUAGUGAUUGUGACUGCUUCUGGUUUCAAGGUCUGUACUGACCCUCAGAAGCCCUGGGUGAAGAAAGCGAUAAAUAAGCUUCCAAGAAAAAAAUGAAAUCCACGUUUUGCCACCCACAGUCUGACUCGCACCUCCAGCCCUCCCGUCUCCAAAUGGAGCAGAGAGCGCUCAGUGCAGUUCUCCGGAAGGCUGCACGGCAGCGGGCGCAGGCACUGCGCAUGGAGCCAGCCUGCGCCCCAAGGGAGGCCGGGCUUCGCAGCGGCAUGGCCCGGCUGGACACCGCACACCUCACACUGUUACUGCCCUGCCAGGACGUGCCCAGGGGAGGAAGCAGUAAUAAUAAAGACUCAU